rnacentral:rRNA from 1 species
AACGUAGGUGGCAAGCGUUAUCCGGAUUUACUGGGCGUAAAGCGUGUGCAGGCGGGGUACAAGUGGUGUAUGAAAUUUCCCAGCUUAACUGGGAAGGGUUAUGCCAGACUGUACUUCUGGAGUGCGAGAGAGGGGCGUGGAAUUCCGGGUGUAGUGGUGAAAUGCGUAGAUAUCGGAAGGAACACCGGUGGCGAAAGCGGCGCGCUGGACCUCUUCUGACGCUGAGGCGCGAAAGCCAGGGGAGCAAACGGG